CAGUAGCCGCGGUAAUACGAAGGGGGCUAGCGUUGUUCGGAUUUACUGGGCGUAAAGGGUGCGUAGGCGGAUUGUUAAGUCAGGGGUGAAAUCCCGAGGCUCAACCUCGGAACUGCCUUUGAUACUGGCGAUCUUGAGUCCGGGAGAGGUGAGUGGAACUGCGAGUGUAGAGGUGAAAUUCGUAGAUAUUCGCAAGAACACCGGUGGCGAAGGCGGCUCACUGGCCCGGAUCUGACGCUGAGGCACGAAAGCGUGGGGAGCAAACAGGAUUAGAUACCCGGGUAGUCCCUGUCUCUUAUAC
rnacentral:rRNA from 1 species